rnacentral:rRNA from 1 species
UACGGAGGGUGCAAGCGUUGUUCGGAAUUAUUGGGCGUAAAGCGCGUGUAGGCGGUUGCCUAAGUCUGAUGUGAAAUCCCGGGGCUUAACUCCGGAAGUGCAUCGGAUACUGGGCGACUAGAGGGCGAGAGAGGAUAGUGGAAUUCCUGGUGUAGGGGUGAAAUCCGUAGAUAUCAGGAGGAACAUCAGUGGCGAAGGCGGCUAUCUGGCUCGUUUCUGACGCUGAGACGCGAAAGCGUGGGGAGCAAACAGG